UAGUAGUCAUACGCUCGUCUCAAAGAUUAAGCCAUGAAUGUGUAAGUAUAACUAAUUGACUUUGAAACUGCGAAUGGCUCAUUAUAUCAGUUAUAGUUUAUUUGGUGAAGGAUACUAAUUGGAUAACCGUAGUAAUUCUAGGGCUAAUACAUGAGUAAAGUCCCAUUGGGAUGUGUUUAUUAGAAUGAAAACCAUAUGCUUCGGCAUGAUAGUGAGUAAUAGUAACCUAUCGUAUCGCAUGCUUAAAGUAGCGAUGAGUCUUUCAAGUUUCUGCCCUAUCAGCUUUCGAUGGUAGCAUAUGGGUCUACCAUGGCAGUAACGGGUAACGAAGAA
rnacentral:rRNA from 1 species